rnacentral:rRNA from 1 species
GAGCUUGCUCCUUUGACGUUAGCGGCGGACGGGUGAGUAACACGUGGAUAACCUACCUAUAAGACUGGGAUAACUUCGGGAAACCGGAGCUAAUACCGGAUAACAUAUUGAACCGCAUGGUUCAAUAGUGAAAGGCGGCUUUGCUGUCACUUAUAGAUGGAUCCGCGCCGUAUUAGCUAGUUGGUAAGGUAACGGCUUACCAAGGCAACGAUACGUAGCCGACCUGAGAGGGUGAUCGGCCACACUGGAACUGAGACACGGUCCAGACUCCUACGGGAGGCAGCAGUAGGGAAUCUUCCGCAAUGGGCGAAAGCCUGACGGAGCAACGCCGCGUGAGUGAUGAAGGUCUUCGGAUCGUAAAACUCUGUUAUCAGGGAAGAACAAAUGUGUAAGUAACUGUGCACAUCUUGACGGUACCUGAUCAGAAAGCCACGGCUAACUACGUGCCAGCAGCCGCGGUAAUACGUAGGUGGCAAGCGUUAUCCGGAAUUAUUGGGCGUAAAGCGCGCGUAGGCGGUUUUUUAAGUCUGAUGUGAAAGCCCACGGCUCAACCGUGGAGGGUCAUUGGAAACUGGAAAACUUGAGUGCAGAAGAGGAAAGUGGAAUUCCAUGUGUAGCGGUGAAAUGCGCAGAGAUAUGGAGGAACACCAGUGGCGAAGGCGACUUUCUGGUCUGUAACUGACGCUGAUGUGCGAAAGCGUGGGGAUCAAACAGGAUUAGAUACCCUGGUAGUCCACGCCGUAAACGAUGAGUGCUAAGUGUUAGGGGGUUUCCGCCCCUUAGUGCUGCAGCUAACGCAUUAAGCACUCCGCCUGGGGAGUACGACCGCAAGGUUGAAACUCAAAGGAAUUGACGG